rnacentral:rRNA from 1 species
GACGAACGCUGGCGGCGUGCUUAACACAUGCAAGUCGAACGGAAAGGCCCUGCUUUUGUGGGGUGCUCGAGUGGCGAACGGGUGAGUAACACGUGAGUAACCUGCCCUUGACUUUGGGAUAACUUCAGGAAACUGGGGCUAAUACCGGAUAGGAGCUCCUGCUGCAUGGUGGGGGUUGGAAAGUUUCGGCGGUUGGGGAUGGACUCGCAGCUUAUCAGCUUGUUGGUGGGGUAGUGGCUUACCAAGGCUUUGACGGGUAGCCGGCCUGAGAGGGUGACCGGCCACAUUGGGACUGAGAGACGGCCCAGACGCCUACGGGAGGCAGCAGUGGGGAAUAUUGCACAAUGGGCGGAAGCCUGAUGCAGCAACGCCGCGUGCGGGAUGACGGCCUUCGGGUUGUAAACCGCUUUCGCCUGUGACGAAGCGUGAGUGACGGUAAUGGGUAAAGAAGCACCGGCUAACUACGUG